UACGGAGGAUCCGAGCGUUAUCCGGAUUUAUUGGGUUUAAAGGGUGCGUAGGCGGCCUAUUAAGUCAGGGGUGAAAGACGGUAGCUUAACUAUCGCAGUGCCUUUGAUACUGAUAGGCUUGAAUGUACUUGAGGUAGGCGGAAUGUGACAAGUAGCGGUGAAAUGCAUAGAUAUGUCACAGAACACCAAUUGCGAAGGCAGCUUACUAUGGUGCAAUUGACGCUGAGGCACGAAAGCGUGGGGAUCAAACAGG
rnacentral:rRNA from 1 species